rnacentral:RNase_P_RNA from 1 species
AAACCAGAUUGGGUGAUCGCGUGCCGGGGCAUCCGCCGCCGGUACGAGGAAAGUCCGGACUCCGCAGGGCAGGGUGCUGGAUAACGUCCAGUGGGGGCGACCCCAAGGAAAGUGUCACAGAAAACAAACCGCCUGGCCUGUGGGCCAGGUAAGGAUGAAACGGUGCGGUAAGAGCGCACCAGCAUCCAGGCGACUGGAUGGCUUGGUAAACCCCACCCGGAGCAAGACUGCGUAGGAGGGAGACAAGGUGGCCCGCCUUUCCCUCGGGUAACGUCGCUCAAGGCCACAGGCAACUGCGGCCAUAGAUAGAUGAUCACCUAGACAGAAUCCGGCUUAUAGAUCUGGUUGGCCA